rnacentral:rRNA from 1 species
UACGUAGGGAGCAAGCGUUGUCCGGAAUCACUGGGCGUAAAGGGCGCGUAGGCGGGCUCUUAAGUCAGGGGUGAAAGCCCAAGGCUCAACCUUGGAAUUGCCUUUGAUACUGAGGGCCUUGAGACCGGAAGAGGUCGGCGGAACUGCGAGUGUAGAGGUGAAAUUCGUAGAUAUUCGCAAGAACACCAGUGGCGAAGGCGGCCGACUGGUCCGGUUCUGACGCUGAGGCGCGAAAGCGUGGGGAGCAAACAGG